CGUAGGGCGCAAGCGUUGUCCGGAAUUAUUGGGCGUAAAGAGCUCGUAGGCGGUUUGUCGCGUCUGCUGUGAAAACCUGAGGCUCAACCUCGGGCUUGCAGUGGGUACGGGCAGACUAGAGUGCGGUAGGGGUGACUGGAAUUCCUGGUGUAGCGGUGGAAUGCGCAGAUAUCAGGAGGAACACCGAUGGCGAAGGCAGGUCACUGGGCCGCAACUGACGCUGAGGAGCGAAAGCAUGGGGAGCGAACAGG
rnacentral:rRNA from 1 species